UUGCGUUCAAUCAAAAUGUAUCCAUCAGGCAUCAAUGUUGAACAUGAUGAUAACUACUGUAGUGAAACUUUCAUUUGCAACGAAUACAAUCAAUCUUGUGUCGACAAUCAAUGCCAAGAGUCAUUUUCGAGUAUCAGGACAAUGUAUUUGAUCUUUUUUUUUACAAUUUUAUCGGUGAUAUUUAUUUGGAUGCUGUUGAUUAGACGAUUGCUUGCCAUUUGGCUUGGUGUGGACAUGAGUAAUAGAAAUUGCUGCUUAAUUGAGACAUCGCGAAAAUUCGAAACAACUUAAAUUACUGGUUUACAAAUUCAGAUGAAUAAAACAUU